CCAGACUCCUACGGGAGGCAGCAGUGAGGAAUAUUGGUCAAUGGCCGAGAGGCUGAACCAGCCAAGUCGCGUGAGGGAAGAAUGUCCUAAGGAUUGUAAACCUCUUUUGUCGGGGAGCAAAAAGGCUCUGCGGAGUCGUAUUGAGAGUACCCGAAGAAAAAGCAUCGGCUAACUCCGUGCCAGCAGCCGCGGUAAUACGGAGGAUGCGAGCGUUAUCCGGAUUUAUUGGGUUUAAAGGGUGCGUAGGCGGAUUGAUAAGUUAGAGGUGAAAUGUCCGGGCUCAACUCGGGAACUGCCUCUAAUACUGUUGAUCUAGAGAGUAGAUGCGGUAGGCGGAAUGUAUGGUGUAGCGGUGAAAUGCUUAGAGAUCAUACAGAACACCGAUUGCGAAGGCAGCAUACCGGCGCCCAACUGACGCUGAAGCACGAAGGCGUGGGUAUCGAACAGGAUUAGAUACCCUAGUA
rnacentral:rRNA from 1 species